rnacentral:rRNA from 1 species
AGUGAACGCUGGCGGUAGGCCUAACACAUGCAAGUCGAACGGCAGCACAGUAAGAGCUUGCUCUUACGGGUGGCGAGUGGCGGACGGGUGAGGAAUACAUCGGAAUCUACUUUUUCGUGGGGGAUAACGUAGGGAAACUUACGCUAAUACCGCAUACGACCUACGGGUGAAAGCAGGGGAUCUUCGGACCUUGCGCGAUUGAAUGAGCCGAUGUCGGAUUAGCUAGUUGGCGGGGUAAAGGCCCACCAAGGCGACGAUACGUAGCUGGUCUGAGAGGAUGAUCAGCCAAACUGGAGCUGAGACACGGUCCAGACUCCUACGGGAGGCAGCAGUGGGGAAUAUUGGACAAUGGGCGCAAGCCUGAUCCAGCCAUACCGCGUGGGUGAAGAAGGCCUUCGGGUUGUAAAGCCCUUUUGUUGGGAAAGAAAAGCAGCAGGUUAAUACCCCGCUGUUCUGACGGUACCCAAAGAAUAAGCACCGGCUAACUUCGUG